rnacentral:rRNA from 1 species
GAUGUGCCCAGAUGGGAUUAGCUAGUAGGUGGGGUAACGGCUCACCUAGGCGACGAUCCCUAGCUGGUCUGAGAGGAUGACCAGCCACACUGGAACUGAGACACGGUCCAGACUCCUACGGGAGGCAGCAGUGGGGAAUAUUGCACAAUGGGCGCAAGCCUGAUGCAGCCAUGCCGCGUGUAUGAAGAAGGCCUUCGGGUUGUAAAGUACUUUCAGCGAGGAGGAAGGCGUUGUGGUUAAUAACCGCAGCGAUUGACGUUACUCGCAGAAGAAGCACCGGCUAACUCCGUGCCAGCAGCCGCGGUAAUACGGAGGGUGCAAGCGUUAAUCGGAAUUACUGGGCGUAAAGCGCACGCAGGCGGUCUGUCAAGUCGGAUGUGAAAUCCCCGGGCUCAACCUGGGAACUGCAUCCGAAACUGGCAGGCUAGAGUCUUGUAGAGGGGGGUAGAAUUCCAGGUGUAGCGGUGAAAUGCGUAGAGAUCUGGAGGAAUACCGGUGGCGAAGGCGGCCCCCUGGACAAAGACUGACGCUCAGGUGCG